rnacentral:rRNA from 1 species
CCAGACUCCUACGGGAGGCAGCAGUGGGGAAUAUUGGGCAAUGGGCGCAAGCCUGACCCAGCAACGCCGCGUGAAGGAAGAAGGCUUUCGGGUUGUAAACUUCUUUUAAGAGGGACGAAACAAAUGACGGUACCUCUUGAAUAAGCCACGGCUAACUACGUGCCAGCAGCCGCGGUAAUACGUAGGUGGCAAGCGUUAUCCGGAUUUACUGGGUGUAAAGGGCGUGUAGGCGGGACUGCAAGUCAGAUGUGAAAACCACGGGCUCAACCUGUGGCCUGCAUUUGAAACUGUAGUUCUUGAGUACUGGAGAGGCAGACGGAAUUCCUAGUGUAGCGGUGAAAUGCGUAGAUAUUAGGAGGAACACCAGUGGCGAAGGCGGUCUGCUGGACAGCAACUGACGCUGAGGCGCGAAAGCGUGGGGAGCAAACAGGAUUAGAUACCCGUGUAAU